rnacentral:lncRNA from 1 species
GGGAAUUUAUAGGUAAGGAGUUUUUGUCCCAGUUGGAAAUUCUAAUUGGGACAAAAGUCCCCUCCCCUUUUGUCCCAGUUGGUAAUUCAAAAUGGACUAAAUCUUUUGUCCCGGUUGGAAUUUAGCUUCCCCCGUCGGUGGCUAGAUUUUUUCAGCCCACGACCAGACUAAAAGGAGGACUUUAGUCCUGCUUGGAAAGUCCAACCGGGAUUAAAGCUCUCCCUAUCGGUGACUGUCGCU